CGGCCAGACUCCUACGGGAGGCAGCAGUGGGGGAUAUUGCACAAUGGGGGGAACCCUGAUGCAGCGACGCCGCGUGGGUGAAGGAGCGUUUCGGCGCGUAAAGCCCUAUCGGCAGGGAAGAAGGAGGACGGUACCUGACUAAGAAGCCCCGGCUAACUACGUGCCAGCAGCCGCGGUAAUACGUAGGUGGCAAGCGUUAUCCGGAUUUACUGGGUGUAAAGGGCGUGUAGGCGGGAAAGCAAGUCAGAUGUGAAAACCACGGGCUCAACCUGUGGCCUGCAUUUGAAACUGUUGGUCUUGAGUAUCGGAGAGGCAGGCGGAAUUCCUAGUGUAGCGGUGAAAUGCGUAGAUAUUAGGAGGACCACCAGUGGCGAAGGCGGCCUGCUGGACGACAGCUGACGGUGAGGCGCGAAAGCGUGGGGAGCAAACAGGAUUAGAUACCCUUGUA
rnacentral:rRNA from 1 species